AAUCAAUUAAGCAUGGAAGGGAAGGGAUCUUUGGGAAGACUGUGGGUUUGGAGAGGCCUUGAGCCCGAGCUUUGGACACCGUGGAGGUGGGAUAUCCAGUGGAUAUGCAUAAACGGGUUGAGGAGGAUGAAAGCUGUUCAGCAGAUAAAGCCAUAGCAGCCUGUCGGAAUCCUGCCACGCUGGCCUUGAUUUAUGACCAUCUCAGUCAGACUCCCUACCAAAGCCACCCGCUACCUUUUUGCUCAGUGGAAAUGCUCAUGUUUGAGCCGAUAGUACAACCAAAGUUCGCAAACACACAAGGGACAUGGUCUGGUUCGUCACACUGAACCUGAGGACACAGCCGAUGUCUCUGAGUAGCACUCUGAUGUUCCCAGUUUCUCCUCUCUCGCACAACAUUAAAAAGUCUGGAUAAAAGUGACCCUAGAUGCCCAGGGAGAUCACACACACGCAAGCACCCUGCUGAGAGCUCAAAUGUCAGAGUGAACAGAGGGAGAAUGCCUGUCUGCCAGCUCAUGAUACCCCGCUCUGUCAUUGGAGCGGUGUUUAUAUUCGAGGGGCUGACCGCAGGACGGCAAGCACUCAGAGGGGCCGCCUGACGCCACCGGUUCACUCAGCAGCCGAUGUCUUCAAGUUGGACACCGAGUGGUCCUCAAAUUUAGAUCAGGUUCCUUGUUUAGAUCAGAGAGGGAAACUAUGGAACAUAAAGAUGGGAACGAAAGAGUGCAGGAGGGAAGUGUAGAGAAACAGGAGGCCUUGUGGAAGUGCUCGUCUUGAAGCAAAGUUUAAUUUGCUUCUUUGGAUGCGUUUUAAAGCUCUGACCUCAGCGACCUGGACCCCGUGGACGCACAUGAACCUUCCCAUGAAGUGCAUUUGCCACCUGAGGAGAAGUCACGCUGCGCAGCAGCCAGUUCGGUUCUUGGAAAUCACUCCUCAAUGACACACAUCAAAAUUCAAUCACACACGAGCACCAUCCAGGCACCCACCUCCACCCCCUUGUUGACUUGAUUAAGCAGCCCAAGAUUGCAUCGGCUCACACCAUUGGCUCAACCAAAGGUGGGGGCGGGACUAUUUGUUUGUCCAAACAAUGGAAAUGUUGGCCGAAACAUUGAAGGAGGGACCCAUACUCAACUGUGUGGAACUGUAGCGCGGCACUUUCAUAAAGCAGAGAAGAAAGAUUUUUUUCCCCCUACAUCCUUCAAUUAAACAUUGGCUGAGUUAAACUGAGUCAUCUACUGUAUGUCAGACGAUCCUCGAUCUCCCAGCGUCUUUGAAGCCAUCAAAAAAUAAAAUGACAACAUCUUGUCAAGGAAGUUGAAAGAUCAGAGGACUUUGGUUCCAGAGAUAAAAUCACUAGGGUGUGAUGUGGAUUCAGUGCAGUGGUCUCCUGUUGUGUGUGAGGUGUGAAAGGCACUGCACACUUCUUGAGGAGUUGAGGACAGAUUGAGUUCUGUACUGCUGAACAGCUGUCAUUCCCUGCUCACUGUCAAAAAACAUAUAGGGACGCCUGGGGUUCUGACAGCUCUACCACCAUCCACAACGUUUAUUUAUCUGAGGAGGAGAAAGAGAAGCUGGAGUGGAUGAUGAUUCUCACACCUCCGGCUCAGCGUUGAUAUCUGUUCAGAGAGCGGCAGAGGGAAUGAAAGAAUGGAAGGAGGAGGUGCAAGGAAGAGGAGGAGGUAAAAAUAAAUUGCAUUCCCCUCCUAACAGGGAGUCUUCACUAAUUAUGCUGUUUGAGUCCUCACAGAAGCCAAGUCUUCUAAAUAGACCUGUGCUCGGUGAACCCUGAGUCGGGGGGUUCCUGGCGGUACCCAGCCGGGCUCGGCUGCCCUACUUCCUGUCGUUAAUUAUCUUUUGUUUGCCCUUGAUAAUCCGUGGCCUGCCGUGCCCGUAAUGAAAGCUCUGAAUCACCGCUAAGUGUAAAAAACAAUGGCAUUGUCAUUACCACAUCAUCAGCGCAUUAUAAAUAAUGAAUGAAACGUGCAUUAGGCAGACAGAGGGAGAGUUUAUGAAAAUGACUUGUGAGAAUAGAUUAAAUUACAACUAUUAUUACUUUUCCUUUUGAUGUAGUGCAUCAGAGUAAUUACAAAAUUGUAUAAAAAAGGAUUCCAUUCUCCGCAAGCGGUAUAAAAAUCAAAUUUAUGUUACGAGGGAAUUGUG